rnacentral:lncRNA from 1 species
AGACGAGGAUGUAUCCCGAUGUUCACUUCCUUGGAGGGAAGCUAGUCACCGUUAGAGAGGUGGAUGUUACCACGAAGGCACACCAACGCCACGAAGGCUCACCCUAUUCUCCUUGAGAUAUCACCACGAAGGCGAUUCUCAACCACUAGUGGUAGACCUUGAGGCGGCCUCCAAACCUUCACAAACUUUCCGGGGGACAAAUCCCAAGUUGAUUCCUCACCGGAGCACUCCUACCGCCUAGGAGUCUCCAACCUCCAAGAGUAACAAGAUCAAGGGGGAAAUGCUCAAGACUUGCUCAAAUCACGAAUUGCUUUGGUCACAAGAGGGAGAGGGAGAGGAUCUAUCUUUUGAUUGGAACAACUCUCAAGAACACUCACUAAUCUCUCCGGGAUCUAAGAUUUGGUGUAGGAGAAGUGAGAGGGAGCCACUUGUGUUCUUAGGACGAUUUGGGAUGAAGUGCUCAACCCUCCCCCGGAGUGGGAGAGGGAUAUUUAUAACCCCAAAGAAAAUAGAGCCGUUUCCCGCAGUUGUUGACCUGCCCGGAUGAUCUGGACGUAUACCCGGAUGAUCCGGGCAAUGCCCGGAUGAUCCGGGAAGGUCAAUAUACAAUGUGGUGAAGUAGAUACCCGGAUGUCCGGGGACAUAGCCGAAUGAUCCGGGCAAUUCCCGGAUGAUCCGGGUGGGUAACCGGAUGAUCCGGCUAGCGGAAUAAGCUUCUGUGAUGAAUUUUACGAAUAACCCGGAUGAUCCGAGCAAAGCCCGGAUGAUAUGGGAGAGGACCCGGAUGAUCCGGCCAAACCAAACUGCUGCAGCCUAGAAACUGAAACAGGCACAACUUUUACAUCCGGACUCCGAUUUUGAUGAUCUUGGGCUCGUUUUGAAGCUAUGAAAAAAACCCAGGUCCUCACAUAGAGAACCACCCAAGAUGAACCAAAAUAGAGGAUGCAAAAUAUGCAAAGGUUUUAUCAUGUAUUUGGGUAACCUAUUUGGCUUUGGAUUUUCUUUGGCAUAUAGGAUAUGAGUGGAAUUGUGUAGAGAAGAUGUUGACUUGAGCAAAUCUAUCACGAACCCCUUUGAUCCCCUCUUAAUAGUGCGGGAUCCCUAUAACUCAAGAAUCAUAAAAGGUCUACACUACAUAGCUAUCAAUAAUCCAUUCUUGAGUGUAUGUGUUCUUUCGGUGUUCAUCACUCCACAACACUAACGUCGAAGGAACUAAUACCUUUGACUCGAGCCUUUCACUUGAGCUUGAAGUUGAAGUUUCUUCUUGGAUCAAGUUGAAUGGCAAGACAUUGGUGAAGCCUUCAAGUAGCUCCCCCAUACACAAUGUGGGAAGCUUUGCUUUGUAUUUAUCUUCAUGUGUCCAUCAUGUGAUCAUCCACAAGCUUCAGGCAUGUAAUCCUUCGGGAUAGUUAUCUUGAACUUGCCCUUGUCAACCAUGAUCAUCAACACUUGAUGUCAUCCUCUCAUAGACACUUGAAAUAUCUCUCUCGAUGCGAGCCCAUGAGAAUCUCCUCUCAAAAACAUAGGCAACACAUAGUAUGGGUUAGUACACAAAGCGCAAUUGACAAAUUCUGACCAUACCACAAGAUCUCACGUGGCACAUGAUUUGCGCUUGUGUGUUGACCAUCUUUGAAUUCAAUCUUCGAUCUUCAUCUUGGUCAACCUUAAUCUUUGCUCCAUGAUUAAUCUUGAUGCACAACUACAUGUAUAUGGCAUUCAUUCCGAAUCCAUUCAAUAUCCUUCUUGCAUCACCCAUGGAACAAACCUUCCUAUAUAACUUGAUGUCAUUGUUUCUUCAUAGGAAUUGUCAUUCAUUAUCAAGUCUCAAUGCAUAUAUAGAUGUUGAUGGAUUUCAUCCACCAAUUCAUCCAAUAUUCUUCAUGCAUUGCAAAUGGAACUUUCCUUCAAAUGUAUAUCUCAGUGCAAACAUUUGUCCAUUAGGAUUGUCAUUUAAUUACCAAAACCACACAUGGGGACUACAUGUACUUUCAAUCUCCCCCAUUUUGGUAAUUGAUGACAAUCUCAACAAGAGGGUUUAUAUAAUGAAUUUUUAAACAAGCAUGAAAUUUAUCCAAGGAUAAAUUUUAUACUUGGGAUGGUUGUAGUAUCAUCAAUACACUACACAAGCAUUUGAUGAUAGUACACCCAUAGUAUAUAGAGCAAACUCCCCCAUAAUAUAUGAAUUUGUGAAUGAACUUUGAAUGUCAUUGCGUAUAUUGGUUGACAUAAACUAGGAGAAUAUUUCUCUAUAUACAAGACUCAUCCAUGCAAUAAGAAUAUAUAACAAGGGUAGAUAUGCAUGAGUGACAAUAAGAACUAGAAAAGAUAUUUAUCUUAAACCCUCUAAACUUCUCCCCCAUUGGCAACAAAUGCCAAAAUGGAAGACAAAACAUCUAGCAGACCAAUAUAGUAUGAGUUCCUCCUUGAUGUGUGCAUAUAACAAAAUGUGAGUGAAAACAAAUGCACAUAUUCAAUGAUGAACAAUUAAAGGAGCUCGAAAUCUAUAGAAUGCAACCAGAUACGAAGAUAUGAACUUUUUCAUGUAUAAAAAUUUCUAAGUGGCCUAUAAUAAUCAUGAUAUGUAUCCACAAAGAAACUCGUAUACACAAAAAGAAAGGUUGCAAUUGAUAAGAACAUGAUAUCCACAAGUGAAUCCACUAUUAUACAACUUGAGCCUAGUCAUAAUAGCAAGGCACAUGGCACAAAGCACAUGGCACAAAUUGAUCUCAUUUGCAUAACACAAAGUGAAGCAAGCAAUCAAAAGAUCCGAUGAGCCAAAAGAAUAAAAGAAUAUUACGAUUUGGGUAAAGGAGUGUUCUAAGGAAAAUAGAGAAGCUCCCCAUGAUUUGUGCACAAUUGAUUUUUUUUAUUUGGAUACAAGUGCACAAAAUAGGAUCAUCACUCCCCCAAAAUCAAUAGGAACACACAACAAUUGCAAGCAAACAUAGAUAAGAGAAGAAGCCUAGCAUUUGCAACAAACAUAUGGUUGAGCAACAUGUACAUGAGACAACCUAAGAAUAGGCACAACCAAAAUGAUGUGUGUGAGACACGUCAAAGCACUUGAGAAGACUAGUAUAAGGAUGAGAAUUAAGCAUCAACAUAGCCUUGAGUAAAUGAGAUACAAGGUGCAAGACAUGUCCUUCCCACACACAUGAAGUUAAGAAGGUCACACACACAUCAAGAAAAUGGGUUCACAAGCUCACUAAUAGCAAACUAAAAAUCAAAGCUUGUGACAACCCAUGAUGAAGAUAGGAAAUAAUAGGCUUGUCAAGACAAGCAUGAGGACAACAAUCUUCACCAAACAUGAGUGCACUAAGAUGGAAAGAGGUAAGACAUGCACUCAUUCAACAAAUGCUUCCAUGGAGCCACCAAAAAGAUAUAAAAAGUGAAUGAAAUGGUGGACAUGAAAGAAUAGGGAUAUCAACUAGAGAUGUAACUUCUCUCACGUGUAUAAGAUACUAGGUAGAUGAUAUCCACAAAGAAGGAUGUACACAUAAAAUAGUUACAAAAGGAAGGAAUAAGAUAUCAAAACGGGAGUCAUAAAAUAUACCAAUGAGAUCUUUGCUUGAAAGCAUGGCACAUGGCUUAAUAUAAUCUUAUUGUAUAUUAAUGAACUCCAAACACACAACCAUCAAAGACAUCACAACUAGCAACAAGAGAUCAUUGUUGGGAUGCUUUGAGAAAGGAAACAAGUAUCACAGGAACGAGUCAAGAAAUUCAUGCCAUGAUGCAACCUACACAAGGUUGAAUGCAAGAAGUGUAUGCAUGAAGUAGAUACUUGUUACCGUGAUAGCAUUGGAAUGAUGUAGUAGGUAAUGGUUCGAGCUUGGCUCUAAUUUCCUCAUAGUGCCACCACUUUCAUGAAUAAGCCAAGCACCCAAUGCUUCUCAAAUGUACCUAAAACAAUUUAAGUACAAUAUGGUCCCCAAACUUAUUGGGUCCAAAGUAGUUAGCAUAAGUACAAAACAUAGGGUAUCAUCACUUAAAUAUGUGCAUAUCGAUAUGAAUUUGAAUAUCAUGCACAUCUUAGCUAUUAAGAAUUUGAUGGAUUUACCAUAUAUAUAUUGGAUCAAAUAAAGCAAACAAGGCAUGCGAAUUUACACAUAGUAAAUACACAUGCACAAGCCUCCCAAAAUCCAGGGAGAUACAAAUUGGACAAAUGAACACAUAACCGUUAAUACUUCCAAUAACAUCACUAGUCAUUCAUGUUGUCCAAAAUGGCUCAAAGUGACAAAUCAACAUAUGAUAGCACACAAAGUUCAACAUAUGAACCAAGGAAAAAUAAUGAGCAUAUAAGAUAUGCAUUGCACACAUACUCAUGGGAAUUUCUCACUCAAGUAGAUAUAGGACACUAUAAACAAUGAGAUAACAAACUACCAUAACUCCAUACAAACUAAUAAGAUGAACUCGAACAAAAUGGUGUUUCAAUUUGACAUUUGGUGUAGAAACCAAAUAAGUACAUGAUGAUAUAUACUAACACAAGCAUAACAUGAGAGUUUAGAAAUAAACACAAUGCUUGGAUAGCAUAUUAUUAACAUUCCAAUUAGAUAGAUCAUCAUGCAAAGCAACAAUUAGAAUGGAUCUAUUCAAAUGAUUUUCCAAAUAUGAUUUUUUUUAAGAUAACCAUGGGCAAAACCGCACAAGAAUACCAUACUCAAACAAAGCAUUGCAUGCCACAGAGAUAUAAGAUAAUCUCAAAUAUAAAUUCUAAGUGGCAAACUGGCAAACCUCUAUUGUUAAUGUUCACACGAGAAGUGAUAUGUACAAAGUAUAUCACUCCCCCAUAAUGUGAUAAUCCAUGUAUUAUCCAUAAGAGGCAAAUGAAACCCAACUAAGGAUAAUUAAUGGAUGAGGAUUUGAGUUUCAAAUGAACUUUACAUACCACAUAGUAACUAGAUAAUAUUGCACUAACAAUACUAGGUGGUAUCCUACAUAUAUACAUAUUUAAGGUUUGUGAUAUGCGUAAAUCAUAGCACUCCCCCAUAAUGUGAUGAUCCAUUAAUAUCUCAAAAACACCAAUGAAGAUUCAACUAAUGAAGCAAUAAAGGCUUGAAGCCACACACGCACAAAUAUAUGAAGUGCAUUGUGACCUACACAUGCUAGAUAACACAAAUCAAGCAUACUAGGAAGCACAACUCUAAAAGCACAUGCUAGGUACAAAACCUAAACAUGCAAGGGACACAGUAACUUUCAAUGUAAACAAUGCAAGUACAAGUUACCGCAAAGAGGAGCAUUGUAUUGAUAGAUAUGAUGAUAAUCCACUUUACUUGGCAUUAACCAUAACAUAUGGUGAAAAUAGUUUUUCUUCAUGAAGUAGCCAAGUCUCCAAUGCCCUCCACACACCUAUUGAUCAAGUUUGUGCUUGAUGGUCCCCAACCAAGUUGGGUCCUAAGAAGUUAGUAACAAUAGGCUUGGCAACCCAAAUGGUCUUGUCCACUUUCAAACUUCUCUGGGAACCCACAAACUUGGCAAACACAUUGCCAACAAUAUCCUUCUUUAGAGAAUAAUGAUUAUUGACUAUAGGAGGCUUAGAUAUGUUACCGUUGGAACAAGAUGAAUCUAUGUGUCCCUUCUUAUGGCAAAUAUAGCAACAUAUGCUCCCCUUUCUCUUCUUCUUUACCUUUUCAACUUGGAGAGCAUUAUCUUGGUUAGGCAUGGGAAGAGGCCUUUCAUUAUCUUGAUAUUGAACUUGAGGCCACUUCCCUUGAUGCUUCACACUUGAAGCCUUCUUCUUCAAUGGACAAGAUCUCACAUGGUGUCCAACAUUCUUGCACUUGAAGCAAAUAAUGUUGGCCGAAUUCUUGACUUGAUCUCGUCCCUUCUUCUUGUUCUUGGACUUCUUCUUGUUGGAGAUGAAAUCAAGUCCAAUUUUGUCUUGAGGGUCCUUUUGCACACUCAAGAUAUUAUCACAAUAUUUUUCCAAGUCUUUCUUCAAACUGGUGACUUGGGCCUUGAGCUCUUUAUUUUCCUCUACAAGGUUAGUAUUAACAAAAGAACUAGAGGAAGUAGAAACUUCAUUGUUAGAGCAACAAGGCAUGGUGAGCAAUUCAUCACAAGAUGUACCAAUAUCAUGUAGAGAGGAAUUGCAAGGACUAGCACAUGGCAAUAAGGCAUUUCGAGUAGAAGAUGUGCUAAUAUCCACAUGAGACUCACACGAUUUUACCUUGGUCCACAUAGCCUCAUGAGCUAACUUUAGCCCAUCAUGAGAGAUUAUAAGAUCCUCAUGAGUGCCCGAGAGCUUUUCAUAACUUUCUUCCAAUUUCCCAUAGUUGCUAGUUAGCAAAUCAAGUUUAGUCCUUAGGUCAACAUUUUCUUUUAAUAUCGAUGCUUCACACAAGAUAGAGUUAGUAGCACAUGCAUCAUUAUCAAUAUGAGAGGAGCAUGUAGAAGCUAGGGACUCCGCAUGAGUAGCUUGAAGUUCCUCAUGAGACUUAGAGAGUUUGAUGAGCUCUCCUUUGACCUUCUUGUAGUCAAGGUCAAGGGGCUCAAAAUCCUCUUUAAGUUUACAAUGUGUAACUUCAAUCUCUUCUUUUAAAGACCUCAAGUCACUAAGACAUUGAUGAGCCAUAGCAAGUUCAUGUUCAAGUUGUUCACUUUUUGCUUGCUCGUAAAGAAAUAAGUCAUUGCGUUUUUGAAAGCAAGCAAGAACAUCUUGGAACCUUUUAUAAGUGUUAUUUUUAGCUCUACGAAGAGUUUUCCCAAUCUCAUAGAGAUUUUGGGUCAAGACUUCAUCAUCUUCCUCAUUACAACUAUCAUCAUUGUCAUUAAGAGAAGAUGAUACCUCGUCAUUACCUCUUGCCAUGAGGCACAUGUGAACGCAAGGGGUUGAUGAUGAUUCUUUUGGAUAAGAGGGUUCUUCAUCAACCAAGCAUGCCUCAUUUUUCUUGAUUUCCUCUACAUGGUUAGUUUCACAAAUAGAACUAGAGGGAAUCACGAUAUUUCUAUCAUGGCAACAUGGGAGAUCAAGCAUAUCAUCACAAAUGAGCUUAACACCAUCAUUACAGGAUAUUUCUUCACUCACCAUGUCAUUACCUUGUGGUAUGCCACAUGUUGGUGAAGUGAAAGAUGUUGGGGUAUGCAAGUAAUCGGAGGUGGAAGCAAUAGAGAGCUCUUCAUGAUUUAAAAAUGUGGAGAACUCCUCCAUUAACUCCCCAAAAAGAAUAUUGUCUUUAUGAAGAUUGGACCCACCAUAUAUAUCUUCAAUUUUGGUCCAAGCAUCAUGAGCCAACAAACAAGACGAGAUUGACUUGAACACCUCGAAGGUUAUAGCUUGGUGAAUGAAACUUAAAGCUUCACAAUCAAGAUGCAUAUCAUCAAGUGAUGAAGAUUGUCCAUCCUUUAGAUUUGAAUUCCCUACAACCACAAUCCGCAAAGCAUUUGGACCCAUGGCCCGAAAGUGACAAAGCAUGCGUAAUCUCCACAUAAUGUAAUUUCUGCCAUUAAAACAAAAUGUGUCAUCGUGCACUAGUUCACUAGUCGACAUCGUUACUCUCUAGGCGGUUAAGCCUAAUAAGGAGAGACCUAGCUCUGAUACCAAUUGAAAGGACCACGAUGUCGCCUAGAGGGGGGUGAAUAGGCGUUUUAAAAUCUUAUACGGAUUUGGCUAUAUCCUAAUGCAGAAAUAAACUAAGAGGAUACUUUUCAAGCACAAAUCCUAAAUAUACCAGGCUAACUAAGUGCACCAACAACUUAGGAUAAACAAGAUGAGAACAACGAGGAUAUGAGUAAGCACAAGUAAGUUACACAAACUUACUCAAUGUAUAUCACAAGAUAUAUAAAUGAAUAAUACACACAACCACAAGUAAGCAAUACAGGCUUACACAAGUUAUGUCACAAGAUAUGGAAAUGAAUGUUACAAUCUAGCAAUUCACACUAAGCACACGAUAGAACAAUAGUAGCAAGUAUGAAUUGCGGACUAUAAAGUGUUGGCCUAGAUAAUCUCUACGAUAUGGUAACCAACACAAUAUAAUGAGGACAACAAGAUAUAGUGAAUGCAAGGUCAAGAGACCAAAGUAAACCACAAGUAGUGGCUAGGGUUAGAAUUAACCGAAGACACGGAGACGAGGAUGUAUCCCGAUGUUCACUUCCUUGGAGGGAAGCUAGUCACCGUUAGAGAGGUGGAUGUUACCACGAAGGCACACCAACGCCACGAAGGCUCACCCUAUUCUCCUUGAGAUAUCACCACGAAGGCGAUUCUCAACCACUAGUGGUAGACCUUGAGGCGUCCUCCAAACCUUCACAAACUUUCCGGGGGACAAAUCACAAGUUGAUUCCUCACCGGAGCACUCCUACCGCCUAGGAGUCUCCAACCUCCAAGAGUAACAAGAUCAAGGGGGAAAUGCUCAAGACUUGCU